AAUCAACGCUGGCGGCGUGCCUCAGACAUGCAAGUCGAACGCGAAAGUCCCCUUCGGGGGACAAGUAGAGUGGCGCACGGGUGAGUAACACGUAGGUAAUCUACCUUCGGGCGGGGAAUAACAACCGGAAACGGUUGCUAAUACCGCAUAAUGCAGCGGCACCUAAUGGUGACAGUUGUUAAAGCGGGGGAUCGCAAGACCUCGCACCUGAAGAGGAGCCUGCGGCGGAUUAGCUAGNGGUAGGGUAACAGCCUACCAAGGCAACGAUCCGUAGCCGGCCUGAGAGGGGCGGUCGGCCACACUGACACUGACAUACGGGUCAGACUCCUACGGGAGGCAGCAGUCGGGAAUUUUGGGCAAUGGGCGAAAGCCUGACCCAGCAACGCCGCGUGAAGGAUGAAAUCCCUCGGGAUAGUAAACUUCGCAAGAACGGGAAGAAUAAGCCGGUGUGAAUAUCACCGGCGAUGACGGUACCGUUUGUAAGCUCCGGCUAACUCCGUGCC
rnacentral:rRNA from 1 species